rnacentral:misc_RNA from 1 species
GCGAGUUCCUCAAGACCCGCGGCGGCACCUACAUGAAUGGCGACCUGCAUCACCCGCACAUCUCCUUCACCGACGGCACCUAUGAUGGCCGCUAUGCCUUCAUGAAUGAUAAGUCCAACACCCGCGUCGCGCGGNNNNNNUGAAGUGCGACAAGAUCAUCCAGCUUCCGAACCAGCACACGGUGCACGGCUUGCGCGUGCAGAAAUAUCCCCGUACCGGCUAUGUGUUCGCCAACGGCGAGGAUGGCG